rnacentral:tRNA from 1 species
UGCGGCGUAGCUCAAAUGGCACCAGAGCACUUGUCUCGUAAACAAGUGGUUACGGGUUCAAGUCCCGUCGCCGCAGCCA